GAUGAACGCUGGCGGCGUGCCUAAUACAUGCAAGUCGAGCGAACAGACGAGGAGCUUGCUCCUCUGACGUUAGCGGCGGACGGGUGAGUAACACGUGGAUAACCUACCUAUAAGACUGGGAUAACUUCGGGAAACCGGAGCUAAUACCGGAUAAUAUAUUGAACCGCAUGGUUCAAUAGUGAAAGACGGUUUUGCUGUCACUUAUAGAUGGAUCCGCGCCGCAUUAGCUAGUUGGUAAGGUAACGGCUUACCAAGGCAACGAUGCGUAGCCGACCUGAGAGGGGGAUCGGCCACACUGGAACUGAAACAGGGACAAGACUCCUGGGGGAGGCAGCAGUAGGGAAUCUUCCGCAAUGGGCGAAAGCUGGACGGAGCAACGCCGGGGGAGUGAUGAAGUUUUUCGGAUCGAAAAACUUUUUUAUUAGGGAAGAAAAAAUUUGUAAUAAACUAGGCACGUCUGGACGGUACCUAACAAGAAAGCCACGGCUAACUACGUG
rnacentral:rRNA from 1 species